GGAGACACACGGCGGGUGCUAACGUCCGUCGUGAAGAGGGAAACAACCCAGACCGCCAGCUAAGGUCCCAAAGUCAUGGUUAAGUGGGAAACGAUGUGGGAAGGCCCAGACAGCCAGGAUGUUGGCUUAGAAGCAGCCAUCAUUUAAAGAAAGCGUAAUAGCUCACUGGUCGAGUCGGCCUGCGCGGAAGAUGUAACGGGGCUAAACCAUGCACCGAAGCUGCGGCAGCGACGCUUAUGCGUUGUUGGGUAGGGGAGCGUUCUGUAAGCCUGUGAAGGUGUGCUGUGAGGUAUGCUGGAGGUAUCAGAAGUGCGAAUGCUGACAUAAGUAACGAUAAAGCGGGUGAAAAGCCC
rnacentral:rRNA from 1 species